AUAGUUGCCUGAUAGGAGAGAUAACAUGAUCCUGAAGGUGAUUUUCCCAGGGUAAGGCUUAUCCAUUACACUCUAGGUGUAAAUAAAAGAUGGCCCAUCUAGAGCUGGCUCACAUUUAUCCUCAGACUUUUGAUUCUGCAGUAACUGCUGCACACUGCAC
ensembl:snRNA U1 U1 spliceosomal RNA